rnacentral:lncRNA from 1 species
UAUGGUCGAAGAUGGUUCAGGAAACGGACAAGUCGAAACAGACGGACUGGCCCGCGACCGUCCUGCUCCUUGCUGCGGUUCAACCAGUCAAACAGAAGCCAGCCAAGGGGUCACUUUGACCAGACCGCAAAUUGAAGAGUCUUUCUUCUUUGUCUUUCAAAAUUCUAGUCAAAUGUUUUUAAUUUUAUUUGUCUUUCAAACUUCUAGUCAAGUAGCCCCUUUGUCUCCUACUUGUACUAUAAAUAAGUGUUUCAUUUCAUGAAUAAAAUCAGAUCAUUUUGGAUUAAGUUUUUGAGUUUAAACUCUCUGUUCUCUUUAGAACUUGUUUUCGAUUGUCUUAGUGUGUCAUAUCUGAGCAAUUCACUUCUCAACUAGUUGGUCUUGUGAGUCAUAUCAAGCAACCAGUUCGAGAUCUUCCUUGGCGGACUUGUGAGUCAUAUCAAGCGCCAUUUAAGCCGGGAAUAUCAAGGGAACAUCCGCAACCCUUGUGCGACCCUUCACUCCAUCAGUUCUCCUUUCCGGAGUUCAUAUCCAAACGAAUCCAGUCGAGGGCAAUCCGAUCUUAGGGUCCUUCAAGUGGUAUCAGAGCCCACUCGUCUGGUAUUCUCUAUCUCGAUCCACC